rnacentral:rRNA from 1 species
UGAGGAAUAUUGGUCAAUGGGCGCAAGCCUGAACCAGCCAAGUAGCGUGCAGGAAGACGGCCCUAUGGGUUGUAAACUGCUUUUAUACGAGAAUAAUUUGAUGCACGUGUGCGUUAUUGCAUGUAUCGUAUGAAUAACGACCGGCUAAUUCCGUGCCAGCAGCCGCGGUAAUACGGAAGGUCCAGGCGUUAUCCGGAUUUAUUGGGUUUAAAGGGAGUGUAGGCGGUUUGUUAAGCGGGUUGUGAAAUUUAGAUGCUCAACAUUUAACUUGCAGCGCGAACUGUCAGACUUGAGUACACGCAACGUAUGCGGAAUUCAUGGUGUAGCGGUGAAAUGCUUAGAUAUCAUGAAGAACUCCGAUUGCGAAGGCAGCAUACGGGAGUGUAACUGACGCUUAAGCUCGAAGGUGCGGUUAUCGAACAGGAUUAGAUACCCUGGUAGUCCGCACAGUAAACGAUGAAUGCCCGCUGUUAACGCCUGGCGUUAGCGGCUAACCGAAAGCAUUAAGCAUCCCACCUGGGGAGUACGCCGGCAACGGU